rnacentral:rRNA from 1 species
CCUGAUGAUCAUAGCGUGUUGGAACCACACCUUCCCAUUUCGAACAGGACCGUGAAACGACUCUACGCCGAUGAUAGUGCGGAUUCCCCGUGUGAAAGUAGGUAAUCGUCAGGU